rnacentral:rRNA from 1 species
UGAAGAAUCUUGCGCAAUGGGGGAAACCCUGACGCAGCGACGCCGCGUGGACGAUGAAGGCCUUCGGGUUGUAAAGUCCGAUAAGCAGGGAAGAAUAAGCAACGGGUAAUAUUCGUUGUGAUGACGGUACCUGCCUAAAGCCCCGGCUAACUACGUGCCAGCAGCCGCGGUAAUACGUAUGGGGCUAGCGUUGUUCGGAAAUAUGGGGCGGAAAGGGCGUCUAGGCGGGGGAUUAAGUUGGGUGUGAAAGCCCUGGGCUCAACCCAGGAACUGCAUCCAAAACUG